AUUACAAACGCGGUGACGUUUGCUAGCAAUAUGGUUUUACAUUAAUGAAUUAAUUUAGUUAACUUAUAGUUUGAGGUAUGUUGUUUGCAAUUGUUUGCUGCAGAGCACAGUAAUUUAUGUGAGUAAAUAAACAUAUUCCUUUUACAUCAACUCCCUAUUAUGCUCAUACGUUAUAUGAAACUUCCCCAGGAGCACUGUUAAAGUAUUUAGGAGGAGGCACUGACUCAGCCCAGGGGCAAUCCACCUCCUCAGUAGCAGCCAAGGCUGAUGAAUCAGGUCCAUCUCUAUCCUCUGCUCCAUCCACUGUGCCCACUGUCCUCUCUGCAACCUCAGCUGUACCUGGUCCUUCAUCUUUGGUCAUCAAGAUUGAUGUGUCUUCUUCAGCAUCCAGUUUGGAGCAGGGUUCAGCAGCUCCGCCAGUUGACCCAGCUGAGUCUUUCCUGUCAGACUCAGAAAGGACUGAACAGGUAUUAAGAGGGCC